GACGAACGCUGGCGGCGUGCCUAAUACAUGCAAGUUGAGCGAUGAAGAUUGGUGCUUGCACCAAUUUGAAGAGCAGCGAACGGGUGAGUAACGCGUGGGGAAUCUGCCUUUGAGCGGGGGACAACAUUUGGAAACGAAUGCUAAUACCGCAUAAUAACUUUAAACAUAAGUUUUAAGUUUGAAAGAUGCAAUUGCAUCACUCAAAGAUGAUCCCGCGUUGUAUUAGCUAGUUGGUGAGGUAAAGGCUCACCAAGGCGAUGAUACAUAGCCGACCUGAGAGGGUGACGGGCCACAUGGGGACGGAGAACCGGCCAAAACCCCUACGGGAGGAAGAAGGAGGGAAUUUUGGGCAAUGGAAGAAAGUUUGACCGAGAAACCCCGGGGGGUGGAAGAAGUUUUUCUGUUCUAAAAACUUUGUGGGUAGGAAAGAAGGUUGGUGGGGGGGGAAAGCCCAUAAAGGGGCGGGAACUCCCCAAAGAGGGGCGGCAGACUACGG
rnacentral:rRNA from 1 species